rnacentral:tRNA from 1 species
GCGGAUGUAGCUUAAUGGUAGAGUACAACCUUGCCAAGGUUGAUGUUGUGGGUUCGAGUCCCAUCAUCCGCU